rnacentral:misc_RNA from 1 species
AAUUCUCAACUUCAUAGUUUAUUUAUUAACUAUGAUGUUUGGAUUUGGAAGGUUGCUGGCGAAAGCUGGCUCUUCUUAAAUAUAUUAGCUGCUUUUCUGUGAGUUGGCUCAGAGUGUGAUAAGUAUCUACACUUGGUGGCUGCUUGCCUUGGAUGUGGCUUCUAAUUGUCUUCGGACAACUUCUUAAG